GGAAUAAUGUGCAGAAAUUUAAAUCUGAGCCCGUGUACAAGAAUUCUUUCGUGACCGAAAGCUUAUGGUCCCCUUUAGGGACUUAUUUGGCAAAUGUUAAGAAACAGGGUAUCAUUCUUUUUAGAGGCACCUCUGCCUUACAUCAUGUGGCCACCUGUCUGCAUCCCAAGGUUUUUGAGGUGAAAUGGGUUGAAUUUUCGCCUGGUGAGAAUUAUUUGGUGUCUACAGUGUUGAACAAAAAAACACUGGUGGAAUAAGCAGAGCUGUAAUAAGCAUUUUUGAUGUGAAAACUGGAAAAGUAGUGAAAAAAAUUGUGGGAGGUCCUCAUGAUUUUGCAAAUAAAGGAGUUGGGGCGUCUUGGCCCAUUUUCAAAUGGUCCGGUGGAAGAGAUGACAAGUAUUUUGCCCUAAUCAGCAAGAAUGUUAUCUCUAUUUAUGAGAUAAAUACAUUUACAGUCAUAUUGACGGUAGGGAAUGUCACGGACUUCAGUUGGUCACCAACUGAUGCGAUUCUUGCUCUCUUUGUAUCAGAAUCGGUUGAUGCUGGUGGUGCCAUACCUGCUUUGGUGAAACUUGUUCAAAUACCCAAUAAAGAGCAGUUGAUUGAGAAGAAGCUUUCUAGUGUUAGUAACUGCAAGAUGUACUGGCAAAGCAAUGGGGAGUAUCUUGCUAUGAAAGUUGACAGCAGUACAAACAAUUUCGUUGAGCUUUUCCAAAUUAAAGAUCGAGGCAUCGAUAAUAAAAUUUUGGUGCUCCCGUAUAAUGAGGACAAGGUCACUGCUUUUGCUUGGGAACCCAAGGGCCAUAGGUUUGCUAUUAUUCAGAGUAAUGAAGAUAUUAGUUUCUACUCCAUGCGGGAUGCUGCCAGCACAGGCUGUGUUUCAUUGCUCACGAUUCUCAGAAGCAAGGGGACAAACUAUCUCUUUUGGUCACCUUCUGGUGGCCUCAUAAUACUUGCAAGGUUGAACGGUUCCAAUGGGAAUUUGGAAUUUUUCAAUGUGGAUGAACUUCGGACAGUUGCUAUAUCUAAAC